GGACGAGGCCCACCCACCUUGGGGAGGGGCCAGCUGCUGUGUUCAGUCCGCCAUUGCAAACACGAAGCUCUUCCAGAAACGCCCUCACAGACACCCCGGAAGUCACGUACCCACUCUGUAGGUGCCCCGGGGCACAGGCAAGCGGACGAGCCAGUUAUCCCUCAGAGCUCCUGCUGCCUCGCCCGCUUUCUCUCGGAAACGUGAAGUGUGGCCUCAGCUGAAAGUGAGGUGGGCCUCAUUCAAUCAGUUGAAUUCUUCAAGAGAGAAAAACUGAAGUCCCUUAGAAGGAAAGAGUUCUGCCUUCAGACUGUCUUUGAACUUAAGACUGUAGCGUCGACUCCUGCCGGAAUUUCCAGCCUGCUGGCCAGCUCUGCAGAUUCACACUUGCCAGCCUCCACAAUCGCAGCUGAGGCGGAGGAACCCUAAGGGCUCAUUGAGAUCAUGGAUUUGCCCUUCUAUGCAUUGAUGGAGCACCUGCUGCCCACAGCGUCUGUAUUUGGUGCUGGGAUGCUGAGCCUCCUUCUUUAUGAAUUUUUAAAAGGACACUGAGAUCUUCAAACAGAGGCUGCCACUCUAAGCAAACAGAUCCCGAGCCCUGGACUCUGAAGCUUGGGCCCAGUUCUCCUUUUCUCCGGGUUUCAGAUCCCACUGUGAAGUGAGGGGGCCCUUCUGAUUCAGGACCCGGGGAAGCCAGGGGCAUGAGCAUCGGUGCCUCUUCUCUAUUUCAAGGACCCUUCUGGGUGUAAAGUUCUCUGAGAUGCCUUACAUGGAUUCCCACCACUGCAAGAUAACCAUCGUAUGUAAAGUGUUAUGACCAGCAGAGCGUAAUUGAAGUGCAUUCCAGAGGGAAAGACAGCGGCUCAGAUGAGGCUUCAGGCUUGACCAAAUCUGACUGGCUGGCUGCCGGAGACACUGCUACCCAUCGGCCCUUAAUAAAUGGCCUCAUUUGAUCAUCAUGUGAUCUUCAGAAGCUGGGCUUGAUUAUCCUUGCCAAACAAAAUGCUGAAACCAAAAAUCUGAAAGUGAAGGAAAGACCCUGGCUUUCCUCCCCAGCUCCAAGUGGGCUGUUCUGAUUGCUUCCGGGUCCUGUCCUCAUGGGGAGCAGCACCACGGGAGACUCUGCCUCUGCUGAGUUUUCUAACAUUAGUGUCGGGAAACAAGAAUCUGCCACUGAUGCUCCUUUUGUAAAGGUAUAAACAUGUAUAUAAAGGAACACCCCAGCA
rnacentral:lncRNA from 1 species